CCGGCGGCUUCAGGGUGAGACUACCGCCGUCCUUGCCCCGCGUGCACACGGACGCGCUGCUUCCGCAGCCUGAACGGGGGAGUCGGUAAAACUGGGCUGUGUUGGGGAAGUGGGGAGGGUGCCCCGGACUGACUGGAGAAUUGCAAAAAGCUGCCUAUGUUCUUACCAAACACGGAGCAGUAGCCGAACUAGAGAUGUUCCUGUUUUGGCUCCUUUCUGGACUCCUCCAUUCAUGAAGACAUAAUUAUCCUCAGAGUCCCUCAAACCUUCUUCGAAAGUUAGCAUCUGAACACAGAUAAGAUGAGGAUCUUUAAGUCUCUAGAGUAUUGGAUCUGAGACCUACAAUAAAAUACUUCAGCAACUGUACUUUGGUUGAUGCAGUUUCUCCUAAUAAACAAGACAGCUAAAAACUUGGAGAGUUAGUUCCAUGCUCACUUUGGUUACUGACUGGCAAUGCACCCACAAGUCUUCGUUCUCUAUGAGAAUACGGCAAGCUUCUCUACUCUGCUCCCCCAAAGCUAUUUUCUCAAAAACAUGAAUAAGAUUCUUCUCACCUAGCUAUAAAUGCUCUCUGCUCUGGGAAAGUCACCCUCAGUGACCUUUCUAACAAAUGGAGGGAAAAAGAUGCUAGAUUCUGCUGCC
rnacentral:lncRNA from 1 species